rfam:Geobacillus sp. BCO2 LR69_contig000077, whole genome shotgun sequence.
ACGAUGUUCCGCUGCAAUGAAGAGAUCAUUGGCAUGAACAUCUG